rnacentral:rRNA from 1 species
UACGUAGGGGGCAAGCGUUGUCCGGAUUUAUUGGGCGUAAAGAGCGUGUAGGCGGCUAGGUAGGUCCGUUGUGAAAACUCGAGGCUCAACCUCGAGACGUCGAUGGAAACCAUCUAGCUAGAGUCCGGAAGAGGAGAGUGGAAUUCCUGGUGUAGCGGUGAAAUUCGUAGAUAUCAGGAGGAACACCGGUGGCGAAGGCGGGUCUCUGGGCCGAUACUGACGCUGAGGAGCGAAAGCGUGGGGAGCGAACAGG